rnacentral:rRNA from 1 species
AUUGAACGCUGGCGGCAUGCCUUACACAUGCAAGUCGAACGGUAACAGGUCUUUCGGGAUGCUGACGAGUGGCGAACGGGUGAGUAAUACAUCGGAACGUGCCUAGUAGUGGGGGAUAACUACUCGAAAGAGUGGCUAAUACCGCAUGAGAUCUAUGGAUGAAAGCAGGGGACCUUUGGGCCUUGUGCUACUAGAGCGGCCGAUGGCAGAUUAGGUAGUUGGUGGGAUAAAAGCUUACCAGGCCUACGAUCUGUAGCUGGUCUGAGAGGACGAUCAGCCACACUGGGACUGAGACACGGCCCAGACUCCUACGGGAGGCAGCAGUGGGGAAUUUUGGACAAUGGGCGCAAGCCUGAUCCAGCAAUGCCGCGUGCAGGAUGAAGGCCUUCGGGUUGUAAACUGCUUUUGUACGGAACGAAAAGUCUUGGGUUAAUACCCUGGGAUCAUGACGGUACCGUAAGAAUAAGCACCGGCUAACUACGUG